UUUGUGCACAGACAUAUUUGUUUCGUUUUUUGGGUAGGAACUAAUUUUACGUGGUUAGUUUCGGGGGGGACAUGUUUUACGCGGACACAUGUCACAGAUCCACCAUGUGUGUGAAGUCCUAAUUUACGGUAAAACUCAGCAACGGGAUCAUCAUUUUAAGGUAGCUUUCACAGUAGUAAUAGUUCCUGAAGUAAAGUGUUCUCAUUCCCUCUUGGAUGUGUGCAGCCAGUGAGGUACGUUUUGUUUAAGGUCUAGUUAUAUCUGCUCGACGGCACGGACAGCUAACUGGGCUAGAGAGAGGAGCUAGCGAUUGCCGGACGGGCCAGCCAGUCAGCCAGCUUGCUAACUACACACCGAUGGUUACGUCCACAUGUACUCAACGAAGUGGAAACGCUUUUGACGAUGGCCCGUGCAAAGUCAUGCCACCAGUCUGAGGACAUCACUGGGAAUGGCACAUGGGACACGUGGCUUUCAACUCCAGCGAGGUGGGCUUCACCGCGGGCAAUCGUGGCAAAGACCCAAGUCGACUGGACCACAGCGGAAAAUGAUCCUUCCAGAGAAGAAGUUAUUUACUUCUACAACGAAUGGAAGAGUUACAACUUCCAGAUGACAGCUCGCCGCUCAUCCUUCUGGGCAACUUGAACAUCCGACAGAACUUAUGUGACCUACUGCGUUUAUUUUCUCCUUUAGCUCUCAUUUAAGUAUUAAAAUUCGCUGUAUUUUUGCAAGAGAGGCACCAAUCCUAUUUGAGUGACGUUUCGAUUGUGAAAUUGUAUUGGACCAUAUAGGUCAUCUGCAGAGCGUUGGCCCCUGGCGCAGUAAACCAGGGUUUGAUUCUUGGCAUGCACAAGACUCCUCAUGUGACUUUAAAUGAAUCCAGAAUGCAAUAUUUGUUCAGUAUGCAAGGGCAGUGAUUUAUUUAGUCAUGUUUGGUCAUGUUUUGGUUUUUUUACAUGACAAUAUGGUUUGGUACAUGCUGAGUUAAUGAAUAUACAUUCUAAAGUGCAAUGUCCAUAUGUGAAUAAGAGUUGUAUACGUUUAUCAUAGUCAACAUGGUGUGGAAAUAUCCCUUAUGUAGUUGGUCAAUGGGAACUAUAGUAGGCCGUAAUAACAGCUAAGGUAAUUACAGGUGGAUAUUUCUGGGAAUUAACCUUAAAUGAGACUGCAUUUAUGAUAUCUAAGAUAUACAGGACAAGAAAAAUGCACUGGAUGUGUAUAUGUGUUGAAUCAAUUAUACAGACGCAAACUGGAGAACGAGACAAGUGUUGCUGUGAUACUUAUUGUGGUCAUCGUGCCCGAGACCCGUAACAAUUACUCUGCAGGUCUCUUGCAGCUCGGCAACAGCCUGGUGUCGGUGGAUUCCGUUCGCGAGGCCGCAGAUUCAGGUUUGAAUGGCAGCCCCGAGAGUGAUUUGUUUAGUCUCUUUAGUCUUUUUUGACCCGCGAGCCCGGCCGACCGC